rnacentral:rRNA from 1 species
ACCGGAUAGCCUUUCGAGUCCUUGGACUCGUCAGAAAAGGUGGCUUCGGCUUCCGGCUGAGGAUGAGCCCGCGGCGGAUUAGCUUGUUGGUGGGGUAAUGGCCCACCAAGGCCACGAUCCGUAGCUGGUCUGAGAGGACGAUCAGCCACACUGGGACUGAGACACGGCCCAGACUCCUACGGGAGGCAGCAGUGGGGAAUCUUGCGCAAUGGGCGAAAGCCUGACGCAGCGACGCCGCGUGCGGGAAGAAGGCCUUCGGGUUGUAAACCGCUUUCAGGAGGGACGAAGCCACUCGGGUUAAUAGCCCAGAGGGUGACGGUACUCCAGGAAGAAGCCCCGGCUAACUACGUGCCAGCAGCCGCGGUAAUACGUAGGGGGCAAGCGUUGUCCGGAUUUACUGGGCGUAAAGCGCGUGUAGGUGGAGACUUAAGUCUGGUGGGAAAGCCCCUGGCUCAACCAGGGAAGGACGCUGGAAACUGGGUCUCUUGAGGGCGACAGAGGGAAGUGGAAUUGCUGGUGUAGCGGUGAAAUGCGUAGAGAUCAGCAGGAACACCCGUGGCGAAAGCGGCUUCCUGGGUCGCCCCUGACACUGAGACGCG